AAAAAACCUCUAGCUAAGAGUCAAGGCGGUGAAACAGGAAAACAGGAUAGACCAACACGCCGUGACGCUCCUGAUGAUAUGCACUUAUCCGACAUGGGUUUGCAGGGAACCUGGAGGCUGGUUGUGAGGGACAUCCUGGGUCAUCCAUACAUCAUUCAGACACUACGGAUGAUGUAAAGAUGCCAAUCAGGCUACAUGACACAGCUUUGGACUGGAGGAGGAAACCAGAGAACCCUGAUGAAACCUCCAAGCACAGGGAGAAGUGUUGAAGAAUCUCUUCUGGGAUUCAGGACCAUGGCGCUUUCUUAAGAAGUCACCUCUUUCCCAUGACAAAGCUGGGCUCCUCGGCGUCGUCCUCCCGGUCAUUCUUUUCCUCCUCAUCCUCGUCCUCCUUUUCGCUC